rnacentral:sRNA from 1 species
CGCAUAUGUAACUUUUAAUUCUCUAUUUAAGCUCCUGUUCUUUUUGCAUGACACUCUCAAAGAGCAUAUUUCGAGUUUUGAAAUUGAAAAAACAUCAAGAAAAUGUUGCUUCUAUCCGUAUUGUUUAGCUGCGUAGUGUUAAUCUCUGCCAACGCAGUCACGCGAGAAAAUAAGGAUGACGCCAAUGAAAACCGAAGACAGCUACUAACGUGGGGUAACUCUUUGCAUGGACGAAAUGCAGGUAA